rnacentral:rRNA from 1 species
AUUGAACGCUGGCGGCAUGCUUUACACAUGCAAGUCGAACGGCAGCGCGGGCUUCGGCCUGGCGGCGAGUGGCGAACGGGUGAGUAAUAUAUCGGAACGUACCCAAGAGUGGGGAUAACGUAGCGAAAGUUACGCUAAUACCGCAUACGAUCUAAGGAUGAAAGCAGGGGAUCGCAAGACCUUGUGCUCCUGGAGCGGCCGAUAUCUGAUUAGCUAGUUGGUGAGGUAAAGGCUCACCAAGGCAACGAUCAGUAGCUGGUCUGAGAGGACGACCAGCCACACUGGAACUGAGACACGGUCCAGACUCCUACGGGAGGCAGCAGUGGGGAAUUUUGGACAAUGGGGGCAACCCUGAUCCAGCAAUGCCGCGUGAGUGAUGAAGGCCUUAGGGUUGUAAAGCUCUUUUACCCGAGAUGAUAAUGACAGUAUCGGGAGAAUAAGCUCCGGCUAACUCCGUGCCAGCAGCCGCGGUAA